rnacentral:rRNA from 1 species
AACGAACGCUGGCGGCAGGCCUAACACAUGCAAGUCGAGCGCUUCCUUCGGGAAGAGCGGCGGACGGGUUAGUAACGCGUGGGAACGUGCCCUUCUCUAAGGAAUAGCCACUGGAAACGGUGAGUAAUACCUUAUACGCCCUUCGGGGAAAGAUUUAUCGGAUUUGGAUCGGCCCGCGUUAGAUUAGAUAGUUGGUGGGGUAAUGGCCUACCAAGUCUACGAUCUAUAGCUGGUUUUAGAGGAUGAUCAGCAACACUGGGACUGAGACACGGCCCAGACUCCUACGGGAGGCAGCAGUGGGGGAAUCUUGGACAAUGGGCGGCAAGCCUGAUCCAGCCAUGCCGCGUGAGUGAUGAAGGCCUUAGGGUCGUAAAGCUCUUUCGCCAGAGAUGAUAAUGACAGUAUCUGGUAAAGAAACCC